rnacentral:misc_RNA from 1 species
GAUGAAGAACGUAGUGAAAUGCGAUAAGUAGUGUGAAUUGCAGAAUUCAGUGAAUCAUCGAAUCUUUGAACGCACAUUGCGCCCCUCGGUAUUCCGUGGGGCAUGCCUGUUCGAGCGUCAUUUACCCCUCAAGCACUGCUUGGUGUUGGGCGUCUGUCCCGCUUCGCGCGCGGACUCGCCCCAAAGGUAUUGGCAGUGGUCGUGCCAGCUUCUCGCGCAGCACAUUGCGCUUCUCGAGGCGGUCGAUCGGCGUCCACGAAGCUCACCUCCACCGUUUGACCUCGGAUCAGGUAGGGAUACCCGCUGAACUUAAGCAUAUCAAUAAGCGGAGGA